GAGAGCAUAGCCGCUGACGCAGGAGCUGAUCUCUGCAGAGGUGAGGGGCAGGGGGGCGCCCGUAAAUCGAUUCAUCAGCCCGGGCAUCCUGGAUCCUGGUGCAACCCUAGUGGAGAAGAUAUGAGGAGCAAAGGGAUAAGAAGAACAGGGUGAACAGAGGGGGAGGAGUCACAUACAGCAGCCAAUCAGAUUCCAGCUCUUAUUUACACAUUGCAGGUUUGAGAAUAAAGCAAGUGAUCUGAUUGGUUGGCAGCAGUAGAUCCUCUGAGCUGAUCCUCAGAAGAAAAAGGAAAAAAAUCCUGUAAUCAUAGUAGAAGGAAGCAGAGAUCCUGAAAAGAGUGAAAAAUGAAAACACGACAGAUGCAGAACUUUUCCUUAGUUGUUCAGGAUUAGGAAAACAUGGCGGCUUUCUUCCUAAAACAGCACCCCCUCUUGUCCAAAGUCAUCACAGAUCAUCACGGAGGCUCCUUGAUCCCAUCACUGACGAUGACCGGAGGGUUAAUAAUUCCGUGUGAGGUUAAGAGCUGAUGGCCCCCGGAGACGUUCAGAUGUGAUGGCGUCUACUGAGGAGCGGACGUGUCUCCACCCAGGGGAACCGCACGAAAACUCCUGCUUUAUUAUAUUACCAGGCUGACACCUGCGUCACUCCGAGAACCAUCAAUGUGAACGAUGACAUUGGACGUGGCAGGCGGCGGGGGCUCACGAGGCACACGGGGGUCUUUAAGAUAACGAGAAGAUAUUGGGAACAGUCGGCACGCCAAGAGCGCAAGACGGCGGCUGCUUAAUCUAUUAUUGUGUAUGACAAUGUGGGGGCGCCACUUAUCAGAAGCAGCUGUCCAUAAUAAGACGUAACCAAGAUAAGGGAACGUCCUCCGGGGUCUCCGCCCUAGGUCUCUGAUUCUAUCAUCGCGCAGAAGAGUUUAAGACCUUGCCGCGUCAUUUCACAGGAGGGAUUUGCUGUUUUCCGUAACACGAAGAGAAGGAGCUAUAGGAAAGCGUAAGGAAAGUAUUUCCCAACCAAUGUGCCUUCAGCCUAGUAAACAGCUGUCUUCAGCACCUGUGCUGAUUAGCAUCACACUGAAAACCUGGACUGGACAGAAAGGGAAUGAAAGUCCCCACUACCAACCCGCCAGUCAUUCCUUAAAAUGUUUUAACUGUUCCUGGAUUCCUCAAAUCUCCCCCAGCUUUAUAUGAAUUAAUAAGCUUGAGUUUUCCAACCUGUGUGUCUCCAGCUGUUGCAAAAUUACAAUUCCAAGUAUGUCCAGACAGCCAAUGGCAGUGUUACCAAACCAGGCUGCCUCCAGCUGUUGUAAAACAACUCCCAGCAUGCAUUGACAGCCUCUACUGCAGACUUAUUUACAUCUUCUCUUUAAGCCUUGUAACCAUUUGCCUUCAGCACCUGUGCUGACUUAGGCCACACUUUUAACCAGGAACGUAAUGAAUGACACUACCAACCUGCCAGUCAUUCCAUAAAAAUCCAGGCCUGAUAAGACUGGAGACACGUUGGUUGGAAAACAAUGGUUUAACCUGCGCCACUUUUGAUUGAUGUGUAAUGUCUAAUGAACAUCAGUUAC